rnacentral:rRNA from 1 species
AUGAACGCUAGCGGCAGGCUUAACACAUGCAAGUCGAGGGGCAACACGGGUAGCAAUACCUGGUGGCGACCGGCGCAAGGGUGCGUAACGCGUGAGCAACAUGCCCUAUACAGGGGGAUAAUCCAGGGAAAACUUGGUCUAAUAUCCCAUAGUAUUUAGAGGUGGCAUCACCACUAAAUUAAAGCUUCGGUGGUAUAGGAUUGGCUCGCGUGACAUUAGCUGGAUGGUGGGGUAACGGCUCACCAUGGCGAUGAUGUCUAGGGGUUCUGAGAGGAAGACCCCCCACACUGGGACUGAGACACGGCCCAGACUCCUACGGGAGGCAGCAGUGAGGAAUAUUGGACAAUGGAUGGAAAUCUGAUCCAGCCAUGCCGCGUGCAGGAAGACGGCCCUAUGGGUUGUAAACUGCUUUUAUAUGGGAGCAAUAAGGUUUACGCGUAGACCGAUGAGAGUACCAUAUGAAUAAGCAUCGGCUAACUCCGUG